ACUUGCCACUGUCAUAAUCAACGCGUACAUUCAGUUGCAGAACGUCCCCCGUGCUGUUGACCACGGAUGUACUGGCAACGGCAUGGGGUGACGACGAGAGGUCGGGUCCGCCCGGCCUUUUUGUU
rnacentral:sRNA from 1 species